rnacentral:misc_RNA from 1 species
CAGAAACACUCUCAAAAGCCUGUUGAAGAAAUGAUGAGGAAUCUUAAAGUUGAUGAAGCUUCCGUAGAACUCACCGAUUCUAAUAUGGUUCCUUCAAAGGAUGGGAGCCCUUCAGAUGCAACGUCAUGUAUUUCAUCCACAGGAGAUGCAACAGUUAGUGUCAAGGAAGGCGAUGUAGAUCGUGAAUCCUUGACAACUGCCCAAGGCUUGCCAAAUCCAUCAUGUGGCUACUAUGGAUAUUUCUAUCCAGGUUAUGAUGGCACUUUUGGAGGGCUGGACGACCAAGCAUACUAUGUGGCUUGUGAUGGAAUGCAACUUCAAUAUCCAGUCAUGCAAGCAGAUAAUGGAUCUUUGAUCUACUUAAUGCCAGGAAUACACCCAGGUUACAGUCCAUACUUACCUGUAAACAUGUUUGGCAUAGAUGGACAGCAUGUUGUCCAACAACCAUUUCCUUCAAACCCCAUGUUACAACCAUCAAUUGCCCCUGGAUAUAUUCCAACUCCUUUUCUAGUGCCACCGCCCUACCUGUGGGAUCCAUCUGUUUAUGUUGGGGAGGGAGCAUAUGGAAAUGGCUAUAGUGGAAUUGUGGAAAUUUCUGGCUCUAAACCUAACAUGUCAUCUCACAGUCAUACCCAUGCUCAUUCAAAAAAUUUAUGGACUCCUGACUUUAGUGAUUCACUAGAAAAUAAGAGCUCCCUUCCGACAUUAGAUGCAUCAUCUGGUCAUGGCAUGCAUAACCAGUUAAAAUCAGUGGCCAAGUCAGAUGUAUCACUUGAAGGUUAUUUUCCAUUGGCCAAGUUUCCACCAUAUAAUCAAGGGAAGGGUGGAGUGCUCUAUCCAAACACCCCUGUUAAAGCAAGUGCAAGGGGUUGGAGCAACACUGAAAAGCCAAAAGCAAGAAGCAAGAUUGGUAACAUUAGCGAUUUUGGCUUCCUCAAUGAGCAGAAUUAUGGUCCUAGGACAACUAAUGCUAAGGGUUCUUUUACUUUUGGAGGUAAUGCUGCUGGAUCUUUGGAUACUGACGGGAACGGAAACAGUAACAGCCUAACUUCUGUAAUUAGGAGGGAUCAAUAUAACCUUCCUGAUUUUCCAACCAAAUACGAUCAUGCGUUUUUCUUUGUUAUCAAAUCUUACAGUGAAGAUGAUAUUCAUAAGAGCAUCAAGUACAAUGUGUGGGCCAGUACCCCUAAUGGAAAUAAGAGACUGGAUAGUGCAUAUCAAGAUGCACAAGAGAAAAUGGCAGAGAAAGGCAGCAAUUGUCCUGUGUUCCUUUUCUUUUCAGUAAAUGCAAGUGGCCAGUUCUGUGGAGUAGCCGAGAUGAUUGGCCGAGUGGAUUUCAAUAAGAAAAUGGAUUUCUGGCAACAGGACAAAUGGAAUGGUUAUUUCCCAGUCAAGUGGCACAUUAUUAAAGAUGUUCCAAACCCACAAUUACGGCAUAUAAUACUUGAGAACAAUGAGAACAAGCCUAUUACUAAUAGUAGAGACACACAGGAGGUCAGAUUUCCACAGGGUAUGGAAAUGUUAAAUGUAUUUAAGAACUAUGUUUCCAAAACAUCUAUAUUGGAUGAUUUUGAUUUUUAUGAAAGCCGCCAAAAGGUGAUGCAAGAGAAAAGGCUCAGGUCAUUGGUGACCCAUUUGGAUCAUAAUCAG